AUCCCAUUCUGACAGAUCUCAGAAGCCUUUUCAGAUUUGAGGAGUUUCUGCUUUGUAUCAAGGAAUAUGGAUGCUGUUUCACAAGAUCAUCCUCUUUCCUUCUGUGGUUUCCUUUGAUUUCCCUGCACACGUUUCACCUUCUGUGGCAAUGAGUUUGUCACGUUACUGGAAAUCCAAAACAAGACUUUCUUGUUGGAGGGAAGAAGCAGAAUUUUUUUAGAGGAAGCCAUUUGAGUUUUGGACAAGAUGCAAGCAUUACAUUUUGGUGGGAUGGAGCUUGUCAACAGAUGGAACACAGCAGCUGAAAGCUCUUCUUCCUUCAAGUUACAGGAUGACUUUCUUACCCUCAAGCUACUGGAGUUCAAAAAGAAAUUUUGCUUGGUACUAAGUAACUAUCACAGAAUUGAUUGUGUUUUCCUGUUUGCAGAGACAGGGUACUUGACUAAGCAGGUUAAUGUUAUGAGGGUAAUUCCCACUUAAAAUACCCAUUUUCUUCACCUGCUCGAUGGUCUUCCUUCUACCCUGGUCUCUGCCUUUCCAGUUCAGUUCUGUCUUGACUGCAAAGAUAGUACCCAUACGGAGCUUUGGUUCUUAUUCAGCCUAAUGGUUGGGUAACUUCCAGUUCUUGAAGCAAGCUGGGAACAAGCUAAUGCUGAAAUUGACAGCUAGUUCAAGUAAGACUUGGCAAAGCUUAUUUCAGAUGUAAUUAACUAUAUUUACUUAUAUUUACUGUAAUUUGUAGUAACACAACUUAGAUUUAAUUUUUGACAGCAGAUUCUUCUGCCAUGUGGUGAUGUUUGCUUCAGUUGAGGUGGUUGUCACUGACAGCUAAUCUUUCUGUGGCAGCGUGUAGUCAAGUGAUUAAUCACCUUAAACAAUAUUCUUAACUAACAGCAUUCUGUCUUACAGUGAGAACAAUCUGGAAACAAUUUGCCUUGUCUGCCUUUUUUUUAACAUGAUCUGCAUGCUACCUAGCUUUUGAAGAACCUGAUUAGAGGGCUUUCCUGUCUGUCAUUUUAAAAUGCUGUUACAUCUUUAAUAACAGUUGCAAAAGUUUGAAUGGCUAUGCAUUGAAGUUGUAUUCUGGUUCUCAUUUGCUGUAUUUAGGAGUUACACUUAGAUGGAUAGAAUGUUUCUUAUUAUCAGUUUGUAAAUUCAGUUAAACAGCAUUAUGAUCUAGGAACUUUUUUUUUUUAAUCACAAAACAUUGGUCCAAUUUUUAUUUAUACAUUGGUCCAAUGAACUCUUCACCUUGGAGAAUGAUUUCUCUUGCUAAUUAAAAUGGCCUUGUUCAGUAUGUUCUGAGACAAAAGAGAAUUAAGUCUGUAUGUUUAUUGUACUAGUGGGUGAUGGACUUUUGAUUAGGGCUUGACAGCAGUUCAUGCUUUAGUUUGACCAUAUAAUACAUAUUUCUUAGACAGGGUCCAAAAACCUUGAGUAAUAUGGAAGAAGCAGCUCUGGAAAGUAACUUCCCUGUAAAUGUUUGCUUUAGGUGGCUUCUGAACUGUUUACAGUUACUCCACAUAAUUUGGAGGGUUUAUGGUCAGUGGCAAUUUUGUAUGGCCUCCAGAAAAAUACAUUCAGAUGGAGAAAUGGGUUACAUAACUAGCUUAACAGAGAAAGAUGCAGUAUUUCUGUGAUUACUGGUGAUUAAAAUGAUUGAUUUUAGUUGUAUUUGACAGUCAUAAGUAGAGGAUGGUAUGUUUUCCAGAAUAGUGAGUCUUGUUGCAACUUUAUUGUCAUUAAAGGCUAUAGUUGCACAGUGACCAGUUUAAUCAUAUUGCAAUCAGUAAGGACUUUUCUGUAAAAUAGCAAGCUUGUUUUAUUUAAGACUAUUAAUUCCUCAUUAGUUGAAGGUUAUAGUUUACAGCACAGGCUUGUUACAUGUGUAUUUAAGUGUAACUAGCUAGUAUUUGGAGGUUGUUUUUUUAUACCUUUAGGAUUAAACUUGUAGUUGCAGUAAACCCUUGGGUCUCUUGUUAUUUGCUGUGAGAAGGAAAGUCAAGGUUAUGUAUGUUUGUAUAUACCCAUGUACUCAUACACCCAUAUAUUUGUACAUGUUCUCUGCAAAGCUGUUUUCCUUGAUGUGUCAGCAGAGACAAAUAGGAAAGCAAGAUAUGGCGUAGAGAUAUUAUGUAUUCAUGUUUGAAAUAUGUCUUUUAAUCCCAGGCAGUGUAUCAGAAAUUUGAAUGAAAUAUAACAUUAUAAACGAUGAUCUGUAGUAUAUAUAAGGAAAGGUAUGUGCCAGAGCCAAAAUGGAAAGCAUUUUUAUGCAAACUUUUAUGAAUGUCAUAAUUCUAAACCUUAAGCUACUAUUAGGCAUACCAGUAACCAUAAAGCCUGUUUACACAAGUUCAGGGGCUUUCCUCUUACGUAAUUAUAAGUUUAUCUAUUUUAAAGAAUCUUAAAAACAGAACUUUGCAUUCAGUUAUCUCUGUUUAUUAGUGUUCAGUGAAAAGUAUUUUUUGCAGCCUGCGAUGCACUGGUAAAGAAUGUGGAAAAAUUAUGCUUAGGUAGAUGUGAACUGAUUAAAUUGCUUUUUACAGUAAAAGUGAUUCUGAAGUUGCUUAUGAAGAAUAGUGUAUGUAACUAACACAGAUGAGUUUUUAAAAAUUGUAUUUAUUUAUUUGGUCCAUAUUUGAGCAAACUAAUGUGUGGUCAUUUUCACAUGCAAAUACUUUGAUUUGGUUGCAUGCACAUAGGACUCACAUUAAUCAUAACAGGAGACACAUGGUAAAUAAAUGUCACAAUUUGGUUUACUUUGCAUAGAGUAACUAUACAGUUAAAUAGAAGUGUACAGCCACCUGCAGGUAUGUAUGCCUGCAAAAGUAAUGAACUUGUAUUUUGGGAAGCUGUUCACAAAACCACUUUAAAAUAUAUUGGUUGAAUUUUGAAAGUGCCACACUGCUGAGGUAAUUUAAAGAAAAGAAAAGAAAAGAAAACAAAAAACACCCAAAAAGCACAAAACUCCCUUUUAAAAAUCCACACAGUAUGUAACAGUAGAACUUCGGUGAUGAAGAAAUUCCAGAACUUUAUUGUCUUAAUACUUGACAGUUUUUUGCAUUCUUGUUUUAAAAUUAGGUGAGAGUCAGGAUGCACCCAAUAACCUUCAAAUUCAUGCAGUUCUGAUGGAAAUGUUUCUAAAAUGAUUGAAUUUUCUAUUAAUAUUACUUAUAAUCAUUCUGCCAUACAGAACAGAAAUUUACACUAUGAAUUAGUAGCUGGCCAUCUUUCUAAAUUCAGAGUUGUAUUCUUUACUGCUUAGCUGAAGAAGAAACGAUGUUACAUCUGUGUUUAGACAAUUUCUACCCCUCCACCCCCGUUUACCUGAAAGAGAAAUAAAAAUAUCAUCUAAACAAGCAGCUGUUUGCAAGUCAGUUAUUAUUUUCUAUUGAACAUGUAAGCUUGAGUAGAAAAUGCAAGUGCACCCUAUAUAUAUACCUCUGUGCACUUUUGGUGGAGGAGACCUCUCCAAGGAAUGAUGAGAUACUUAGUUCUCAGCAGCACUGAUUCUGCAAAUAUGCUAUUUGUCCUGAUAAUAUGCAUAUA